UACGUAGGGUGCAAGCGUUGUCCGGAAUUAUUGGGCGUAAAGAGCUCGUAGGCGGUUUGUCGCGUCUGCUGUGAAAACCCGAGGCUCAACCUCGGGCCGGCAGUGGGUACGGGCAGACUAGAGUGCGGUAGGGGAGAUUGGAAUUCCUGGUGUAGCGGUGGAAUGCGCAGAUAUCAGGAGGAACACCAAUGGCGAAGGCAGAUCUCUGGGACGUAACUGACGCUGAGGAGCGAAAGCAUGGGGAGCGAACAGG
rnacentral:rRNA from 1 species